rnacentral:rRNA from 1 species
AACGAACGCUGGCGGCAGGCCUAACACAUGCAAGUCGAACGCCGUAGCAAUACGGAGUGGCAGACGGGUGAGUAACACGUGGGAACGUACCUUUCGGUUCGGAAUAACUCAGGGAAACUUGAGCUAAUACCGGAUACGUGCGAGAGCAGAAAGAUUUAUCGCCGAAAGAUCGGCCCGCGUCCGAUUAGCUAGUUGGUGAGGUAAUGGCUCACCAAGGCGACGAUCGGUAGCUGGUCGUGAGAGGAUGAUCAGCCACACUGGGACGUGAGACACGGCCCACGACUCCUACGGGAGGGCAGCAGUGGGGAAGUAUUGGUAC